rnacentral:rRNA from 1 species
AUUGAACGCUGGCGGCAUGCCUUACACAUGCAAGUCGAACGGCAGCACGGGAGCAAUCCUGGUGGCGAGCGGCGAACGGGUGAGUAAUAUAUCGGAACGUGCCCAGUCGUGGGGGAUAAAGCAGCGAAAGCUGUGCUAAUACCGCAUACGAUCUACGGAUGAAAGCGGGGGAUCGCAAGACCUCGAGCGAUUGGAGCGGCCGAUAUCAGAUUAGCUAGUUGGUGGGGUAAAGGCCCACCAAGGCGACGAUCUGUAGCUGGUGUGAGGGGACGACCAGCCACAGUGGAAGUGAGACACGGUCCAGACACCACCGAGAGGCAGCAGUGGGGAGUUUUGGAAAGUGUGCGCAAGCCUGAUGCAGCAAUUCCGCGUGCAGGAUGACGGUGUUCGGGUUGUAAUCGGCUUUUGUGCGGAACGAAUAGGCUCUCUCUAGUACGGGGGGCUAAUGACGGUACCGUAAGAAUAAACACCGGGUCGCAACGUGCCAGCAGCCGCCGUAAAAC